ACAUAUAUAGUAUAAGAUUUUAUAUUCAAUUUAGGUUUGAAAGAAGAGGGUAUGUU
rnacentral:tRNA from 1 species